GAUCAAGAACGUAGCGAAAUGCGAUAAGUAAUGCGAAUUGCAGAAUUCAGUGAGUCAUCGAAUCUUUGAACGCACAUUGCGCCCUGUGGUAUUCCGCAGGGCAUGCCUGUUCGAGCGUCAUUUCAACCCUCAAGCCUCGCUUGGUGUUGGGCCCUGCCCGCCGCGGCCGGCCCUAAAGAUAGUGGCGGCGCCGCCUGGCCCUCAGCGUAGUACAGCUCUCGCUCCAGGGUCCGGCGGCAGCCUGCCAGAACCCCCCAACUCUGUGGUUGACCUCGGAUCAGGUAGGGAUACCCGCUGAACUUAAGCAUAUCAAUAAGCGGAGGA
rnacentral:misc_RNA from 1 species